rnacentral:rRNA from 1 species
AUUGAACGCUGGCGGCAGGCCUAACACAUGCAAGUCGAACGAGUGGCGGACGGGUGAGUAAUGUCUGGGAAACUGCCUGAUGGAGGGGGAUAACUACUGGAAACGGUAGCUAAUACCGCAUACCAUCGGAUGUGCCCAGCUGGGAUUAGUUAGUAGGUGGGGUAAAGGCUCACCGAGGCGGAGAUCCCUAGCUGGUCUGAGAGGAUGACCACCCACCUGUGAAUGGGGCCAGGGUCCAGACCCCUCCGGGAGGCAGCAGUGGGGAUCAUUGCACAAUGGGCGCAAGCCGGAUGCAGCCAGCCCGCGUGUAUGAAGAAGGCCUUCGGGUUGUAAAGUACUUUCAGCGGGGAGGCGUUACCCGCAGAAGAAGCCCCGGCUAACUCCGUGCCAGCCGCCGCGUAAUAC